rnacentral:lncRNA from 1 species
CGCGCCUCUACGUGUGAACGUUGAAGUGUUCCCGCCUCUUGCGGGUGAUAUUGAGAAGUUGUCAAUAAAUCAAUACAUAAGGACUGGCAACAUAUCAUUUUGGAAAAGUAAUUCUACAAAACAAGAAUGGCAUCUGCCGUGAGCACACAGUUGGAGAAUGCCAUUGAUGCAGCGUUAAAGAAUGGAAAUGUCCAAGCACUGGAGGCAUUUUUGCAAGUGGAUGUAAACAAAGAGACCCCCAUAAAAUGUUCC